rnacentral:rRNA from 1 species
UGAGGAAUAUUGGUCAAUGGGCGAGAGCCUGAACCAGCCAAGUAGCGUGCAGGAUGACGGCCCUAUGGGUUGUAAACUGCUUUUAUAUGGGAAUAAAGUGAGGGACGUGUCCCUUAUUGCAUGUACCAUACGAAUAAGGACCGGCUAAUUCCGUGCCAGCAGCCGCGGUAAUACGGAAGGUCCAGGCGUUAUCCGGAUUUAUUGGGUUUAAAGGGAGCGUAGGCUGUUUGUUAAGCGUGUUGUGAAAUGUAAGAGCUCAACUUUUAGAUUGCAGCGCGAACUGGCAGACUUCAGUGCGCCCAAAGUCGGCGGAAUUCAUGGUGUAGCGGUGAAAUGCUUAGAUAUCAUGACGAACCCCGAUUGCGAAGGCAGCUUACGGGAGCGCAACUGACGCUAAAGCACGAAGGUGCGGGUAUCGCACAGG